UACGUAGGGUGCAAGCGUUGUCCGGAAUUAUUGGGCGUAAAGAGCUCGUAGGCGGCUUGUCACGUCGGAUGUGAAAAUCCAGGGCUCAACCCUGGACCUGCAUUCGAUACGGGCAGGCUAGAAUUCGGUAGGGGAGACUGGAAUUCCUGGUGUAGCGGUGAAAUGCGCAGAUAUCAGGAGGAACACCGAUGGCGAAGGCAGGUCUCUGGGCCAUAACUGACGCUGAGAAGCGAAAGCAUGGGGAGCGAACAGG
rnacentral:rRNA from 1 species